AUAUUGCGAUGAACCGAGAGAUUGCUCAGGUUUCUGAGGUAACUUUCGGGGAGUAUGUCCGAACAUCGGGCGG
rfam:Firmicutes bacterium CAG:129_59_24 Ley3_66761_scaffold_1993, whole genome shotgun sequence.